CCUACGGGGGGCAGCAGUGAGGAAUAUUGGUCAAUGGGCGCGAGCCUGAACCAGCCAAGUCGCGUGAGGGAAGACGGCCCUACGGGUUGUAAACCUCUUUUGCCGGGGAGCAACGGGCGCCACGUGUGGCGCCACUGAUAGUACCCGUAGAAAAAGCAUCGGCUAACUCCGUGCCAGCAGCCGCGGUAAUACGGAGGAUGCGAGCGUUAUCCGGUUUUAUUGGGUUUAAAGGGUGCGUAGGGGGAGCGUUAAGUCAGUGGUAAAAUUGGGGGGCUCAACCCCUUCCCGCCAUUGAAACUGGCGCUCUUGAGUGGAAGAGAAGUAGGCGGAAUGCGUGGUGUAGCGGUGAAAUGCAUAGAUAUCACGCAGAACCCCGAUUGCGAAGGCAGCAUGCCGGAUUCCGACUGACGCUGAAGCACGAAAGCGUGGGGAUCGAACAGGAUUAGAUACCCGGGUAGUC
rnacentral:rRNA from 1 species